ACGACGGCAAUGUUGCCAGAUUCCUUUUAGCGGGAAUUUUAAAAUUUUAUAGCAGUUUGGUUUUAAAUUUGACAGUUCUGUUUUCUCAAGUCAAAAAUCUUAACCUUACUUUUACAAGUGAUUAGGAUUAUUAUUAUUAUUUUAUUUACAUGUAAAUUGAAACGAUAAAUAUUGUGCUGUGUCAUAAUUUCAAACUCAUUAUGUUGCAGUCUUUUCCAGUUGAUAAAAUUGCAAUUCAAAAACUUUUAGAUUUGCACUGUAUGGAUGGCACAGGAAAAGAGAACAAGAGUACAAGAACAUGAAACAUCUUAUUAUGAAUGUAUAUGUAUGUGAUCCUCAAAAAAUUAUUUUACAAAACAAGAUAGAGAAAGAGCUUUAAAAUCCCAAGGAUCCUGCAAAGUGUUUAUUUGGUGUACUAGUCGAAUAAUAGUAUCUAAAAAUAUUGAAACUAUUUUAAAACACAUUACGGGCAUGAGGAUGAUAUAGAGCACUUACAUAAAUACCAAAAUCAGAUAAAUAUCUCUUCAAAGUUUAUUUUGAGACUUUCUUCAAAAAUUAAACUUCAGACUGUUCAGGAUAGCAUAAUAGCAUAGGAGGCGAAUUAAAAAGAAUUGAUUUACUUACAAGAAAAGAUAUCACAAACGUUAAACUCUCUUAUGGCAUUAUUUGAAAGAUGGGUAUAUGUACAAUGAUGAUGCAACCAGUGUUUAUUUUUGGGUUGAAUGCUUACAGACUCAUGUCCAAUAUUAUUUUACAAACAACAGGGCAUACUAAUGGAUAUUCAUUCUUAAUUUAACAUUUACUUCUUAUUUUCCUUAAUACUGUGCCAAAAGGAAAUGUUAGUUAAGUUUGGUAAAUCCUUUAUCGCAAUCGAUGGAACUCAUGGGCUCAAUUCCUAUGACUUUGAACUUAUGACAGUAUUAGUAAAAGAUGAAUUUGGGAAUGGAUUUUGUACUGCUUUCUUAUUUUCAAAUAGAAAAGAUACCUACUUUAAUUUACCAAUUUUUUUAAAUACAUGUCUGUGUUGGUAUUAUAUGUAUAGUCAAAUGUUUUCAUGUCAGGCAUAAGCGACACCUUUUACAUUGCCUCGUCAAAUGUAAUGGGUAUUGCUCCUAAUAGACUGUUAAGUGCCUGGCACAUAGAUAGGGCAUGGUAAGUAAAUCUUAAUAAAAUAUCUGAUUCUGAAAAAAAAAUCCUAUUAUGUAUACAAGAUGUAUUAAUGAUGGUUUACAGAGUAUUAAUAGCUUUUUGGGUAGACUUCUAAGUGAUGCAGAUACAUACAAUUUUAGUAAGUAUUUCCAGUAGAACUACUGCAAUAACAUCCAACAAUGGGCCUAUUGUUAUAGGAAGGGGUUGUGGAAUUAAUACCAAUAUGACCAUUCAAAAUUUUCAUAAAAUUUUGGAUAAAAGGGUAUCCAUUAGUUGUUAUCAGUUAAGUUUAAAACUUGGCACUCAUGGAGAGCUAUAUCAUAAUAUAUAAUAGGUAUAUCUCAUAAUAUUACAUCUCAUAUUGUUCACUACAGUAGUAAUGAGUAAGCCUGCAUACACAGAACCAUAAUAAUAUAUUAUAGUUCGUGUAUGCAGGCUCACUCAUAACAAUAGUGAGCAAUAUGAGAUAUAACAUAUUAUAGUAUAAGUCUCUGUGCAUGACCAGAUUAACAUGUUUGGUGCCCAUCUCGAACAAGCUCCACUUGGCUGGUACCACAUACUUAAAUCAUUUAUUUAGUUACACAGUACUACUCACAUAACUUAUGUGUCGUCAGUACUUUCCGUAAAACCUUCGUGAUGCUACCCAUACGUCAUGGCCACUCAAUGUGUUAAAGCUUGUUAAUGUAGGAGAGUUAUACUAAAAUAUAUAUCUUAUAUUAUAUUGCCUUAAAUAGAAAAAAUAUCUUAUUUAAAUUGUAUCCAUGUAAGUUUUGAUUUAAUGAAAUAAACCUUUUAAUCAAAAAAGUGUUGUUUACUUGUGUACACCCAGCAAUAUCCUGAUCAUAGAUAAAUAAUAUAGUAUUACCGGAUCCUGAUAUGCAGACGCCAAUAGGGCUUUUCAUCGAUUGUCAUUUGUUUCGAGCUUCUGUCAUGAGUCACAUAAUAUUAAUGUAUCUACGUCAUACAUCUUU